AAUGAACGCUGGCGGCGUGCUUUACACAUGCAAGUCGAGCGAGGCGUCCCGCAAGGGGCAGUCGAGCGGCGAACGGGUGAGUAACGCGUGGAUUAUCUGCCCUGAGGUGGGGGAUAACCCGGGGAAACUCGGGCUAAUACCGCAUAUGACCGGGAGGUCAAAGGGGGGUCGCAAGAUCUCUCGCCUUUGGAGGAGUCCGCGUUCGAUUAGCUAGUUGGUAGGGUAAUGGCCUACCAAGGCGACGAUCGAUAGCCGGCCUGAGAGGGUGAUCGGCCACACUGGAACUGAGACACGGUCCAGACUCCUACGGGAGGCAGCAGUGGGGAAUUUUGCGCAAUGGGCUAACGCCUGACGCAGCAACGCCGCGUGGAGGAUGAAGGUCUUUGGAUUGUAAACUCCUGUCAGCAGGGAAAAAGCGACCUGACCUCAUACGUCAGGGAGUUGAUUGUACCUGCAGAGGAAGCCCCGGCUAACUCUGUGCCAGCAGCCGCGGUAAUACAGAGGGGGCAGCGUUAUUCGGAAUUAUUGGGCGUAAAGGGCGCGUAUGCGGCCUGGCAAGUGGAAGGUGAAAUCCCUCGGC
rnacentral:rRNA from 1 species